UGGGAAUCUUGGACAAUGGGGGCAACCCUGAUCCAGCCAUGCCGCGUGGGUGAUGAAGGCCUUAGGGUCGUAAAGCCCUUUCGCCGGGGAAGAUAAUGACGGUACCCGGUAAAGAAGCCCCGGCUAACUCCGUGCCAGCAGCCGCGGUAAUACGGAGGGGGCUAGCGUUGUUCGGAAUGACUGGGCGUAAAGCGCGCGUAGGCGGAUCGGAAAGUUGGGGGUGAAAUCCCGGGGCUCAACCUCGGAAUGGCCUUCAAAACUCCCGGUCUUGAGUUCGAGAGAGGUGAGUGGAAUUCCGAGUGUAGAGGUGAAAUUCGUAGAUAUUCGGAGGAACACCAGUGGCGAAGGCGGCUCACUGGCUCGACACUGACGCUGAGGUGCGAAAAGCGUGGGGAGCAAACAGGAUUAGAUACCCUGGUAGUCCACGCCGUAAAACGAUGAAUGCCAGACGUCGGGGGGCUUGCCCUUCGGUGUCACACCUAACGGAUUAAGCAUUCCGCCUGGGGAGUACGGUCGCAAGAUUAAAACUUAAAGGAAUUGACGGGGUCAUAGCUGUUU
rnacentral:rRNA from 1 species